AUACGUAGGGUGCGAGCGUUGUCCGGAAUUACUGGGCGUAAAGAGCUCGUAGGUGGUUUGUCGCGUCGUCUGUGAAAUUCCGGGGCUUAACUCCGGGCGUGCAGGCGAUACGGGCAUAACUUGAGUACUGUAGGGGAGACUGGAAUUCCUGGUGUAGCGGUGAAAUGCGCAGAUAUCAGGAGGAACACAGGUGGCGAAGGGGGGUCUCUGGGCAGUAACUGACGCUGAGGAGCGAAAGCAUGGGUAGCGAACAGGAUUAGAUGCCCUGGUAGUCCAUGCCGUAAACGGUGGGCGCUAGGUGUAGGGGUCUUCCACGACUUCUGUGCCGUAGCUAACGCAUUAAGCGCCCCGCCUGGGGAGUACGGCCGCAAGGCUAAAACUCAAAGGAAUUGACGGGG
rnacentral:rRNA from 1 species